AUUGAACGCUGGCGGCAGGCCUAACACAUGCAAGUCGAAUGGUAACAGGAAACAGCUUGCUGUUUCGCUGACGAGUGGCGGACGGGUGAGUAAUGUCUGGGAAACUGCCUGAUGGAUGGGGAUAACUACUGGAAACGGUAGCUAAUACCGCAUAACGUCUCAAGACCAAAGAGGGGGACCUUCGGGCCUCUUGCCAUCAGAUGUGCCCAGAUGGGAUUAGCUAGUAGGUGGGGUAACGGCUCACCUAGGCGACGAUCCCUAGCUGGUCUGAGAGGAUGACCAGCCACACUGGAACUGAGACACGGUCCAGACUCCUACGGGAGGCAGCAGUGGGGAAUAUUGCACAAUGGGCGCAAGCCUGAUGCAGCCAUGCCGCGUGUAUGAAGAAGGCCUUCGGGUUGUAAAGUACUUUCAGCGGGGAGGAAGGGAGUAAAGUUAAUACCUUUGCUCAUUGACGUUACCCGCAGAAGAAGCACCGGCUAACUCCGUG
rnacentral:rRNA from 1 species